UACGGAGGGUGCAAGCGUUAUCCGGAUUUACUGGGUUUAAAGGGCGCGUAGGCGGCCCUCCUUGUCGCGUGUGAAAGCCCCGGGCUCAACCUGGGAACGGCGCGCGAGACGGGGGGGCUGGAGUUCGGGAGAGGAGCGUGGAAUUCCCAGUGUAGAGGUGAAAUUCGUAGAUAUUGGGAAGAACACCGGUGGCGAAGGCGGCGACCUGGGUAGAUACUGACGCUGAGGUGCGAAAGCGUGGGGAGCAAACAGG
rnacentral:rRNA from 1 species